rnacentral:rRNA from 1 species
AUUGAACGCUGGCGGCAGGCUUAACACAUGCAAGUCGAGCGAGCGGCGGACGGGUGAGUAAUGUAUGGGAAACUGCCUGAUGGAGGGGGAUAACGACUGGAAAUGGUAGCUAAUACCGCAUACCAUCAGAUGUGCCCAGAUGGGAUUAGCUAGUGGGUUGGGUACCGGUUCCCCUAGGCGACGAUCCCUAGCUGGUCUGAGAGGAUGACCAGCCACACUGGAACUGAGACACGGUCCAGACUCCUACGGGAGGCAGCAGUGGGGAAUAUUGCACAAUGGGCGCAAGCCUGAUCCAGCCAUGCCGCGUGUGUGAAGAAGGCCUUCGGGUUGUAAAGCUCUUUCAGCGGGGAGGCGUUACCCGCAGAGGAAGCACCGGCUAACUCCGUGCCAGCAGCCGCGGUAAUUC